rnacentral:rRNA from 1 species
CCUACGGGUGGCUGCAGUGAGGAAUAUUGGUCAAUGGGCGCGAGCCUGAACCAGCCAAGUAGCGUGAAGGAUGACUGCCCUACGGGUUGUAAACUUCUUUUAUAUGGGAAUAAAACAGGGUAUGCAUACCCUCUUGUAUGUACCAUAUGAAUAAGGAUCGGCUAACUCCGUGCCAGCAGCCGCGGUAAUACGGAGGAUCCGAGCGUUAUCCGGAUUUAUUGGGUUUAAAGGGAGCGUAGGUGGAUUGUUAAGUCAGUUGUGAAAGUUUGCGGCUCAACCGUAAAAUUGCAGUUGAAACUGGAAGUAUUGAGUACGGUAGAGGUGGGCGGAAUGCGUGGUGUAGCGGUGAAAUGCUUAGAUAUCACGAAGAACUCCGAUUGCGAAGGCAGUUCACUGGACUGCAACUGACACUGAGGCUCGAAAGUGUGGGUAUCAAACAGGAUUAGAUACCCGUGUAGUC